rnacentral:lncRNA from 1 species
GUUUAGUGUGUACUGAAGAAGGGUGUGAACAACAGUGUACAUGGGCUUUUAGAGGGCUUUUCAGUCCUUGUAACUCAGCUGUUGAAUACCUAAAACAAAUUCGAGUGAUAACUACAUUAUUUCCUAUUAGAAGUGACGUUUUCAAGUGAUUGUGGCACAUUAUGAUUGUAAAUGUCUCAGUUUUAACAGCAAGUCUGUGGGAGCCCAGUGAAGACUCCUGAAAUGUCUGUAGUAACUGUUAGUCAUGUUUGAGUAAGCGUAGUAUGAACAAAGUCUUUUAUUGCACAGGGUUAACAAACAGUAUGUUGCUAGCUGAGGCUAACUGCUGUUUUAUUACAACAUUACCUCUUGUUUUUAUAAAAUGUACCAAGAUUUUAAAUUGAUAUCUUUAUUUUACGUGUUAAAAAAAAGUUUCUUUUAUCACCAGUGUUAGAGUUGUCUUCUGUUUUUUUGGUUUGUUUUGGUUUGGUUUUUUUCUUGUUGUUUUCUUUCUUAGCCAAAGAGUAAACAGAAGAAUAUUAUUUUGGUAGCUCUUCAUUUUACUUUUAUAAUGAUUGGUGGAUUUUAGACUAAAAAUUGGGGAAAUUUCUGCCAAAAUGAAAAAAUAUGUGACGUGUAUUGAUGACAGAAUGCUAAAAUUGUGGUUAGUGCUUAUUUAUUCCAUUAAUUGAUUAUUUGCCUGUUUUUAAAGAAACAUGCUUUAUUUCCUUAAGCAUCUUCAAAAGAUGACUUUUCUUGUCACAUUGUAGCCAAAAGAAGCAGAGAAUUUCUUGUCCUGCUUUUGGUUCCUGGUUAACCAGGUAUAAUGAGCUUUACAAAGUGCAAAUUACAAACUGUCACUUCUGUUCACCUCCACCAAAACUUGAUUUCCCCUAGCUAUUAAUUUAAAGUUGCCUUUCCUGCAGCUGCAAUAUUUUGAAUAACACAGAGAUUGUGUUAAUUUUUGAAUGUUUGUUUAUAUCUAGGGGUAAUGGAAAAUGUAAUUCCCGUGUAACCUUAUUCACUCCAGCUGUAUCAUAUUUCAUUUUUCCCAAAGUUCUUUAAUUUUAACUGAACACCAGCAGUAUUUUUAGUAAUUCUUUAAGAUACUUGGAAGACAAUUUAUCAAGCUGAACUGUCUCUAGACUUAAUUAUUGUGAAUGUCUGUUUUCUUUUAUCAUGGUGGUUCACAUGGCUCUGAUGUUCAGUUUGUAUUUUUGAAAUUGCUUUACUUAGAAUUAAAACAGACCAACAUUAAAUGUGUGUAUUUUUAAAAGAGCUAAUGAGUUUUUCUUCUGUAUCUGCUUGAAAAUACACACUGGUGCAGCAGUUAACUGCUUUUAUUUAGCUAGGGAGGAGGAAUUUUCCAAUUCUUUUAUAUACUUGAAUUAGUCUUGAAGAACUUUGCUUCCAUUUCCUUUUGUCAUAAUGAUAAUAGUGUAUGUUCACUGUGAGUGAUCUUUUAAAAAAGGAUUACAUGCUUUGUAUU